CUUAGCUUGGAAAUGAGCAAGUUCUCUGUUCUGUAGCUGCCACCUCUGAAACCCACGUCUGCUGCCUGCAGGGUGGAGUCCUUCAAACCUGGGCGGUUCUGGCUCUGCAUGAAUACGGGAGCUGUUCUGGGAACAACGCGGGCGGGCGGGCUCCCUCUCCACCGCGUGAGCUCUCAUUAAGGCUAAUGCCAGAUACGUGGGCAGCCUGGCUCCAGCAGAAUUUAACUCAGAGCGUGGCAGAAGCAUUAUGAAGAAAUGUGUGUUGGCGGCAGGCCCAUGCUUCCUUCCAGCACAUCCUUUUUACCAAAAGAGCCAUCCCGGGAGCUGCCAAGAGUGUUUACAAGAAAGUCGUCUGACAAUGCCUUGGUGUUGGCAAUGCAGCCUGACUGCAGACAGGGCCUGGCCUGCCCCACCCUGCCACAAGCCUGCCAUCAUCCUCACCAAACCUGGCACAUGAUGUGCAUGUCUUUAUUUCCCUCACGAAAAUGUUAAAAAAAAAACCAAAAAACAUAAAGCUGGUUUCUUUCUAGUCUCUCUCUA